rnacentral:rRNA from 1 species
AAGGUUAACCGAAUAGGGGAGCCGGAGGGAAACCGAGUCUUAACCGGGCGUUAAGUUGCAGGGUAUAGACCCGAAACCCGGUGAUCUAGCCAUGGGCAGGUUGAAGGUUGGGUAACACUAACUGGAGGACCGAACCGACUAAUGUUGAAAAAUUAGCGGAUGACCUGUGGCUGGGGGUGAAAGGCCAAUCAAACCGGGAGAUAGCUGGUUCUCCCCGAAAGCUAUUUAGGUAGCGCCUCGUGAAUUCAUCUCCGGGGGUAGAGCACUGUUUCGGCUAGGGGGCCAUCCCGGCUUACCAACCCGAUGCAAACUGCGAAUACCGGAGAAUGUUAUCACGGGAGACACACGGCGGGUGCUAACGUCCGUCGUGAAGAGGGAAACAACCCAGACCGCCAGCUAAGGUCCCAAAGUCAUGGUUAAGUGGGAAACGAUGUGGGAAGGCCCAGACAGCCAGGAUGUUGGCUUAGAAGCAGCCAUCAUUUAAAGAAAGCGUAAUAGCUCACUGGUCGAGUCGGCCUGCGCGGAAGAUGUAACGGGGCUAAACCAUGCACCGAAGCUGCGGCAGCGACGCUUAUGCG